UUUGUUUAAAAGACUAACUUUUCUCCAUCAAAUUGCCUCUGAUCUUUUGACAAAGAUCAGUUGCCCAUGUUUGUGAGUCUAUCUGUGGACUCUGUAUUCUUUUCCAUUUAUCUCCUGGCACAUUCUUACCCCAGCAUCACACUCCCUGUACCUUUCUAAAUCCUGGAAUGGGGAAGUGCGGCUUACUCAACUUUGCUCUUCAGUGUUGUGCAGGAUAUUCCAGUUGCAGAAACGGUUUGUAGAUGUCUACAAAGUAUCUGACUGGGACAUUGACUGGGGUUGUGUUGACUCUGUAGGUCCAGUCGGGAAGAGCUGACAUCUUAAUUAGACUGAGUCUACUGAUCAUGGAAGUGAAAUAUGUCUCCUAUUAGGAUGGUCACCUCUAGGAUGGAGAUCGUGUUGCUGGUCACCAUUGGGCCCACACUGGCAGGUGUAAGCCUGAUGGUCAUUAGGAAGCUCAACAUGGGGUUGGGGACAACAUGCUGCUCAGGGAUGAAGAUGCAGGGCACGUUCUUCCUUCCACGGGCAGGUGAAGCAGUGGCUGAUUUUGAACAGCAAAACCACACUUUUGGGUACUGCUGCUGGUGUUCCAACGCAGUGCCAUGGGACAUGGAAUCCAAUUCCACGUCAGCCCAGCCAAAGUGAGGCUGCAGCUCCCUGGGCUGCUGGAAGUGUGCCUUAGCAGCUCGGGCUGCAGGCACGGCUUCCACGUGACUUCAACAGUCUCCUCUUUGCUGCCUCAUUGCUUGCUCACCACGGUGGGUCAUUUGUCCACACGGCACAGAAGACUGUCUGCAUCCUGCCCCCAAGAGAGACAGCAUUUUCCUGAGGGGACAGGGAUUUGAUUUCCCAUGAUUAGAUUUUGUCACAUUACUUGGCACUCUACCAGGUGCAAGGGGUUCUCUAGUACAUGAGAUGAUAAUUUUUAAAAAACCUUCAAAUUUGAUUUCGUGACCCAGCCCCUUCCAUGUGACUUUCUGAGUAAGUCCCAGCCCAUACUUCUGGUUUCAGACGAUUCUCACUCAUGCUUACUUAUUUUUCCCAUUGUUGGUAAUAUCUCCCAGUCGCCACAAUGCUCAUCCAUUGUCUGAUUCCCAGAACAAAACACAGUUAGAGAUUGUUCAGAGUUUUGAAAGAGUUUUAUUUUAUUCCAUUAAAGUUAAAAAUAGUACCAGAUGUAACAGACUUAGUUAAAAGUCAAAGAUUGAAAAUAAAACAUGUCCUAGUACAGAUUGCUAGCUCUGUGGAAACCAGUUCUAACUUCAUUUGCAAUGGUGAUAGGCCUUAGUUGGAACGAUUAUGGAGGUUAUUGGGAGAAUGGUCAGGGAGAGGAAUGAAGUAUUGUCUAUGCAUCUUCUUCCACCUCAGCACAAACACACACGCAUGGAAUCACUGUUCUUGAGCCUGGAAUGGAAAGCUGAACAGAGAGGAGAAGUCUUAGAGACCCAAGUGGGAACACGCUCAGCCAGAAAUUGCUGUCCCUUCUCUUUGCCAGGCUCUGGGCCAGGCAUGGGUCGGCAGACAUAACCGUGAGCAAGUCAAGGGGCCUUGCCACCAGGGACUCCCUGUCUAGCGAGGCAGACAGGCUCACACAACAAUAAUUAGAGUACAGAGUGGGGAGCCUGACACUAGCAGUGGAUACACAGAAGUGUGCAAGCAAAAGAAGGAAGUCUCCAAUUUGCCUGGAGUCAUAGAAAAGACAACACAGAGGAAAUGGCCCCACUCUGGGCCCUGAAGGGUGGAUCAGCUGGUGGAAAGAAGUAGAGGGCAUUCUGACAUCGGGAGAAGCCUGUGGAAAACCAGGAGUGUUCAACACUUUCGCAUGUCGAGUUGUCCCAGAUGGCUAAAGGAGGGGCUGUGUAUCGGGGUGGGAGAGAGACACAGCUUGAACGCUGGCUGUGGUCAGGUCCCACAUACCUCCUAUGUCUCUGAAGGACAUUCAAUAUGUCAGUGGAGACAACAGGGAUUCAGUGAGGCUUUGUCAGAUUUUCAUUUUAAAAGUGCUCUUGCAGUAGCAGUAGCUGGACUGACAGAAAAACAAGCUUCAGGAGCCUGUGACUGUCACCAAGAGGAGGCCCCAGGAUUCCCAGCCCUGGGACUGGGGAGCAGGGCUGAGGGGUGCAGACUCAGGAGGGAUUUCUGAGGUGGAAUGGACAGGACAUGACACCCAAUCAGAAGGGCCUGGUUGAGAGAGAGAGAAAGGAAGGGGCAGGUGUGACUUGGGUUUGGGGCCAGCAUUAGCAGGGGGGAAAGGAACGGAGAUCCUUGGAACCAGACAGACCCAGCUUCCAACCCCAGCUGUCCUGCUAUCAAGUAUUGCAUUCAUGGGCGGGUCACUUUUCAGAGCCUCCAUUUGUUCCCUAAAGAAGAGUAAUGAACAGGAUUCGGUGGGAGCUGAUGAGAUCCUGGAGGCCUGGGGCAGAGAGAUCCGAGGCAGGAUGGAGGCUGUCUGUGAGGAUUAUUGUAGGCAGGCUCAAAGCUAUGCCCUGUCACAGGACUGGUGGGUCAUGGGAAGAGGGCCUGUGGUGAGUACUGUUGAGAGUGGGGAAAGGAAUGCUGGCAGGGUCUAUGCCAGGGAGGCAGUGGGGGAUGUUCCCACUGACAGGAUUUGGAGGCUUAUGGCAUUGGGAUGCUGCCGGUCGGGAUGCGGUGGUGAGAAAAAGUGUCAGAUGCUUGGUAAUUGCUACAAAUUUAAAGCUACAUCAGAUCCUAGACCAGAGCUCAGUGCAGGAGGAAGAACAAAGGACCCCCAGGCCCUGGGAACUUGAGUUGGCUCUUCUGCCCAAGUCCAUCGAGGAGUUAACGGGAGAAAGGAGGUCUGUGUGAAAGUGCUCAUCAGAGCAGCACAGAACACUGAGACCCAGGGAGCGGGCUGGAAUAACUCCCGUGAAGGAGUAGGGCCGAGCACGCCACAAGCAAGGCUGUGUAGCGAGGCUUGGGGGGCCCAACACACCCAUGUCAGAGGAGUCGGCCUCCGCAGACCCACUGGGAACCGCUCCUUUACCCCCACAGGGGAAGCCAGUCCAGGCCUCUGAAGAGGAAUUCCAAGUCUCCACCACACAGAGACCCACCACCAACAAACAGACGCAAUAAACCAGCCGCUGCUUCCCACGGCCUCCUGCAGACCCUUCUCGGAGCUGCACGGCCACACUGGGCCUCCACAGCCUAAGAGAAAUCAAGGGACUGGAGUGGAGCCAAAGGAGAGCAAAACAUGAUCCAGGGAGUGAGAAGAGGACCCACGAGGCAAGUUAACGAAACCGGGGCUGAUUUGCCUAAAACAGCAAAGAGGAAAUGGGAACGGCGUUCAAAUUCAUGAAGAGGGGCCGGGGUCCAGUUAUUUCCCAAUUUCAAGAGCACAGAAUAACAGGCAAAUGGCCUAACUUGCCACGAGAGAGAUCAGGUAAAGAAGGAGUUUCACAAAUGUCUGUACCUCUUGGAAUGGCCUUCCCUGGAGGAACUGUCAAAUACGGUUGUCCCCUCUCCCUGGGGGCAGCCUGCUGGAGACUAGAUAUGAGGCCCUGGCUUGUCUCCAGAGACCCACCAAUCCCAGCUCUCCUGGCGCCUGGAGCCUGGCAUCUCUUCAGAGCAGAAACCUGACAAGUGUGUGGCCAGCCUGGACCAUGGGAGCAUCUGUGCUUCCCCUGGUGGGUCUCCGGAUCCAAGAACAAGCCUGACUUUAAUCCGGUUUUCUCUUUGCUGUGUUCGAGAUACAGCCAACAGCAGGUGCCUGCAGGUUCUUUGGCAGCUGUUAGGAAGUGUCUUACACCAUCCGCAAGUGGCAGUGUGGUCUGAUCAGUGUGUGUGGUUCCCAGCACAUUGAAGAUACUCAGAGAACCCUGGGAGGCUCCAGCUCCCAGGCAGCUCUGCUCUGCUGGCUAUGGCUGCUACCGGGCUCACGCGUACUGUCCACCACUGGGAGUUCAGUCCCUCAGCCACCCAUUGCUCACGGAAGGAACCGAGUCAAGACACAGAACCAAGCCUGAGGGCCUGCCUCCCCCCGCCCACAAAACACCACAUAGGAGACGUAUUUACCCACAGACAGCAUAACAGUGCAGUUUGUUAGUAACCAGCACACUUGCGAUAGUGAAGGAGGGGUGCUGUUGAUAAUCACGCUAGACCAAAACUGCCACCUAUGGCCACACAAUCUAUCACUCAUAUUCAAAGCUCAAAGAUAAGAGGGAGGUGCCCUCGGUAUUGAAAUUCUUCAGGAAUCCUUGGAAGCUAGAAGAAAAUACAGAAAAGGAACAUCUGUUUUAUCAAAUGUGUAUUAGUUAUCUAUUGCUGCUUAACAAGUCUCUUCCCCAUAUUAGUGGCUCAAAGCCACAUUCAUGAUGUCCUGCAGGUUCCGUGGGUGGGGAAUUCGGGAGCGGCUUAGCCAGACCGUCGGCCUCCAUCAGACACUGCCCUGGCUGCCACCAUCUGAAAGCUUGACUGUGGCUGGGAGGUCCACUUCCGAGCUGACGCACUCUCGGGGCUCCUUGGCAAGAGACCUCGGCUUCUCCCUCAGUUCUUCCCCACGGGGCUGCUUGAGUGUCCUCACCACAGGGCUGCUAGUGUCCCCAGAGACAGUGACCCGAGUCCCUCAGGCCUGUCCUGAUCUCGUCUCAGACUCAUGCACUGCCACUGUGGCCACUUUUCCUUCAUUGGAAUGCGCCACUGAGCCCAGCCCACACUAAGAGGCACGGAGGUGAAGCUUUCCUUGUGGAAUGAAACACAGUCUUCAAGUGUUUGGCCAUUGUUGUGAGGUCCCGUCUGCCUUUCUCCGAGCACUGCCUUUUCAUUCAGCCUGCACCAGGGAUCCCGGAAAAGCACGGGCGUGUGCAGCCAGGAGGGCUGUCUCAGAAGCUGCUGUUCUGGCCAUGCUGGCUCUCCGCUCCUCCCUGGGGUUUUCAGUCACUUGGGGUACUUCAAAGAUGGGCUCUCUUGGGAGGUAAUGAGUUCCCCAUCACGGUAGGUAUAAAAGGGGAAGUGGGAUGGUCAAUCGGCAGGUGACACAGAUAAGUAGAGAUGGGGAGGAUUUAGCCUAAGCGACCUCCCGUGUUCCUCCUGACCGAGAGCAUCCAUGAGUUCCUGAUCCCCCCAGGAACAUGCUUACUUUGGCAUCUGGAUGGGCCACAUAAGUACCGAGUCUGUGCUGUGUGGUAACGGAGGUGUCAGAGCCAAGAGGGGUUAAUCGGCCCAGAGGAGGCUCUCAGGAGCAGGUUUCUGAGGAGGUGAAGGCAUAGAUUCUUGAAGGGAGAAGAUCUGGGAAAAGAAGUGGGUGCGAGGAUCAGGAGCUUCAAUCUCCCCAAGAGAUGGAAUUGACACGAUUUCCAAAAUGGUAAUCAUGGGGGGUUGUCCAUUUCCUUUUGCAGCAAGCCUUGGGAGCUGUGCUUGGAGAGGUCAAAGCUGUUCUAGGAGCCCAUGUCUGAAGCUCCAUCAACAGGUGGAGCUACAAGGAGGCCGGCCCUUCACUUACACAGAGAUCAGCAUGGGCUGCCUGUAAAAUCCUGGCUUAGGAAAAUCGGCCUCCAUUUUCCGCCUGCUGGUACUCAGAGCAGAUGGAGCCAAAUGUGAGCUUGGGUAAGAGAUCAGUGCCCUGUUCGUGGUGAAUGCCCAGGCUGUUGAACAAAAUAGCACACAGGCACAGGGCAGUUCUGGAGAGGAAGGGACAAGGAGCCACCUAUCUGAGAUUUCAGGGAGCAGAUCCUGGCCUCCGACCCAUACCGUCACCUACCAGUCCAGGGCCGAAUGCCAUGCCGGCUCUCACUUACUGUGAGCGAGGAGGUGGUUCCCACGCAGGGGCCCACCAUCUGCCCCAGGGGAGGUCUGCUCUCGGCCCCGCUGGCUGUUACUGAGGAGCGUGGAGUCCUCAUGGACAUAGCGCCAGCCCGGGCUCCCUGCUGCACGGAGAGGGGGACUAGAAGGCUGAGGAACCAGGGCUUGUGGGUGGAUUUCCCUUCCUGUCCUCUUCCCCUUGCACUGGCUCUUCUGUUUCAUUCCAUCAGGAACAAACCAAGGUCAGUGCUGGGGCACAUUUAGCCCCUUGGAAAGAGCUCUGUAACUUCCAGGUUUAAAAAAAGAAAAUUGGACUCCUACAGUCAAGGCUAGCAGCUGGAUAUUAAAGAUGGAAAAGAAGUGGGUCUUUAGGAGGGAAAGUGUGUAAUGCCCAGCACCUAUCAGGUCCAUUACGAGUGGACAACGUGACCAGUCAGGAGGAUUCAAGGCGCCGGAGCUGGACUGUCCCCAAGCUGGUCCGUCCCCUUGACUUCAAAGGAAACAAUGUUUAAGUUUCAGGAGCAGCGUUUCUGAAAGUUCUCUGGAACACAGGGAUCAGAACCACCCCAGUCCCAGUGAAACUGUCCUUCUCAGGCCACCCUUCCUAGGGAGAAUCACCACUGCAAACGCCAGGGCGGGAAUUCUCAUCACAGCUCAGGCGUCACAUCAGCCUUCCAUGCUCACAGCCCCCUGGAAGGUUUGCCUCUUACUUUCCCCUAACAGAUGUGUCCCUGAAGUCUGGCAGUCAGAAACACACAGGCUGUGUCUGCAGACAGCUCUGGUGGGGGCUCCGACGUACCUCCUAGCUGUGUGACUAUGGGAAAGCUACUUAACCUCUCUGUGCUGCAGGUUCUCAUUCGGAUAGUCAGGAUUUUAAAAUGAAAUAAUGCAUGGGAAGCACUUUAGCACAAUCCUACAAUUAUUUGAAGUACAUAAUAAAUGAUGUAGCAGUUAACAAACAAUCGAAUGCUUAUUAAAAAGUUUAAGUAGCCAGCUCACACGGUUCGUUUGAUAGUCGUGAUUUGUCAGUCUGUCCUACCAGACAGAAAAGUCUCUGAGGCAAGCGGGGGUUCUCAUUAGUUGGGUUUCUCAAGCCCCUAACACAGCGUUGCUAAUUGCUGAUGGAGCAAACGAAUGAACAAGGAAAGGGUGUGCAGAGCAGGUAUGUGGCAGGGCUGGACUGAAGCUGGGGCUGGACCCUAGCCUUGCUUCCAGGAGUGUUGAGAUGCCCUGGCACUGACGGGGGCCUCUGGGCCAGUGGGUCCCGCUUUUGGUUUGUGAAGAAGGCCUGCACCUUAUUGAGAGGGUUGAGGGUUCCUGGGCACUGCAGACACGUGGGGGCAGGAGGCAGAUGGAGCAACAGCCACUUUCCAGUAGGAAGGAAUGGUGAGGGAGGGGGUUUCCUCAACUGCGGGCUCUUGGCCCCUGAGACUGGGUGGGAGGGCACAGGACAGGCUGCGGCGGGGCGCUUGGUCCUCUGGCCUGCCUGCACAGUGGAAGCACCUGGGGCUUUGACUCAGGCUCUGCCCAUUUGCAGGGAUUCCGAGUUAAUUAAUCUGGGUGGGGUGGUUUUAUCUCAACUCGCUUCCUUCUAAUAAGUCGCCAAGGUUGGGGAUCGCCAUAGCCCCCCAAGGUGGGUCGCAGCCCCCCUUGAUACAGCCAGCCAGCCCCUUGAGUCUGCGUAACCCCCUCGCUGAGCUCCGGAUGGUCCCCAGAGGGCACUGGAGUCCUGACUUCACAGCUCAGGGAGGCUGCAGUGGAGGAGGCGGGGACGCCAGGAACCAGGAUUGAGGGCAGGGCCCUCCACGCGCGGCAUGCUGCCCACCCCCACCCCCAGCGGUCCCCUGGGUCCCCGGCCUGGAGAGUCCCAUUCCAAGGGCGUGGGAGGGCGCCCGGGAAUCUGUAUUGCUCACACACAAACCCAGAUGCUUCUCUGGAUCAGGCAAGUUUGGGAAACAUCGCCAUGCGCUCUUUCCUGGGUCCAGGCCACGGGAAGGAUACGGGAGUCAACCCGCCCCCGGAAACCUGAAGCACUGCGUCAGAACCGAACGCCCGGAGCCGCCCGCCCCUGAGUCCAGGCUGAUUCCUCAGGCCGCCGCCGUCCGGGUCGGUUUUGAGACGUGGGCGGUGGACCGCUUCUCAGACCCGCCACCCGCCUUCUGCAGGGAUCUUCCUCCUCCCGGGCUAAGGCUCAGGCUGGCUCCUGCCAGCACAGCGCGCGCGCACACGGGGGAAAGCUUUGAAAAAAUGACGGCGUAGACGAGCUCACCGGCGGCGGGGCUGCGGAGCGGUUGGAGUUGACUCCCUGCAGCAGGGAAUCCCUCGGUCCCACGCCCGCUCCCCGCCCGCAAGCUGCGGCACUGAAGGGCAGGGACGAGGGCAGCGAGCGCGCCGCCCGAGGAGACACCGAAGAGCUGAUCGAAAGUUCUCUGUGCUUCAGAAGCACACAUUUGGCACAGGGACCUUCAUGCAUCGCUGACCUUCUCUGUUUUCUUAGCCUGGUCUGGUUCCCCAAAGAAGAACCCUGAAGCCUCCUGCUGAGGAUUUAAGCUGGAUGCAGGGCCUGUGAGCUGACGGGAUCAGAGUUCAAGUGGAUGUCUCACCCUUAAGUGUGCUUUGUGGUUGUUCUUUAAUCCUUUCGUUUUCUGGUUGGCACCUUGCUCCCACCCUCCCUCGAGCUAUGACUGGGGUCCCUGAGUGCAGAUCUUCCCUGCCUCAGUGUCUCCAGAAAGUACAUCUCCUAGUCUGUGGGACACGGGGGUCAUUCGGCCAGCUCUGCUGGCUUGGCAAGGGACCUGGGGCUCUGCUUCUACUUGGACAGCCCCUAAGCCCAGCCUGUGCUGGCCCCAGAGAUGCCCCCAGUCUGCCAUUCCCAAGCCUUUCUGGGAUGCUGCUCAGCCAUCUCACCCUGCUGAUGGCCCCCCACCGGGAGACGGGGUUCCUGCUUGCUCUCCUCUGCUGAGUGGAUAACCUCUUCCAUCUUCCAAAGCUCGGUCGCUCUCUCUUCUCUCCAACUCUUUGAGUGUUUUAUGGUGAUUAUUAGGAUUCCUUAUGGUAGGGUCUCAGGAGGGCGUGCAGACGACCCUGAGGGUCCGCCGUGUCCAUGAGCGAUCAGCCCUGCUGUUGUGACCGUGCUCCCCAGACGGACACGGUUCCUUCUCUCACUUCUCAUUCUGCUCUUUCUGUUCUUUCCUGUGGAAACAAACAUCACAUCCAUUUUUAAAUGCUUCAAAACUUUCUUUUAAAAAUCUAUAAAUACAGUUAACAUAGACCUAAUUGGAUAGAUGUUACAGCUGCGGAAAGUAAAGGCUCUUUUAAGGAAUGCAACUACAUCACCUAAAGAAGCUGAACGUUUUUCUUCCUGGCAUAGAUGAUGUUGUAAUGAACUCAUUACAGUUGCAAAAAAAUUUUGUUUUGUAUCAGAAUGUGUUCCAGAGGCCUUUUAAGCUAAAUUGUUCCUACAGUAUGAUUUACCAAGACCGGUGAGAGAAACAUUUUCCGAUGUUUCUUCUGUACCAAAUGGCUGGCCCUGGGGCCCUGUGACUCCCGGAGCUGUACUAACCAGCUCCGUAAUCUGUUCAGUUUUCUAAUUAUCAGCUCUCUGGCAUGGAGAAAGUGAAGCAGAUAUAAUCUAGACACAAUGUUUUAGGAAACAGUCUCCGUAGCUGUUUCUCUCUGUGUGUUUAGUAUUUUAUUAAACUUAACGUUCUUAUCCCAGCACUUGUUACUUAAAAAGGCGUGUACUGAUUGCUUCCCUGCCAGGAGCUGUCUGCAGACCUUGGCGGCACGGUCUCACAGUCCUGGCGGAGGAGUCCCGCAGCCUGUCCUGUUAGUGCCCUCGCCGUGCAAAGGAGGGACGUCGGCUUCGGCGGGUGAGCCUCUGCUAAGAGGCAGGUGCAGGCGCUCCCCAGCCUGUGUCAUGACGCAGAUGGGGUCUUAACAGGCCGUGGUAGACAUUUUGUAAUCUUGUACUCUAUCUUUGGGAUACUUAUCAUGUCUAUAGCAAUGAGAUUGUAAUUUCAUUGGGUUUUAAAUAGAAUGGCAAGGUGGUUGUGAUAAACUUUGUCAUUUGAACUGUGUGCACUGAAUCUCACGCUUUGUGACAGGCUGCCGUUUCCAUCCUCACACUUCCUCCAGCUCAUUCUUCAUUCGGCUUCCUUGUGCUUUGUUUAAUGCCCAGAAUACCUUGCCUCCAAUUGCUAGAUUGGGAUGGAGAAGGCCAAAUAAUUCAGCAUCAUAUUGAUAUUUUUUUAAUCCUUUAGGCUUUCAUGUCAUCCCAAGGCUACAUUAUGAGCUCAGCUUCCAGGCAACUGCUUAAAAAUUCAGGCCAUCUCCUUGGACUCAGCCUGGACCUUCCAGCCGUUCACCUGCUCCUGGGAGCUGGGGUCGCUGGGGCAGUCUCGAUGGGCCACUCUGGGGACUGCUGAGGGACCCUGCCAUGCCAUCCUUCCGUGGGCCGUGCUGAGUGCCACCCUGCAGCUUGACCAAAAGAUCCUCAUUUUGUGUUUUGCUGUAUUUGUAAUUAAAGCCAGGAUAGGAUUUAAGCAUUUCUCAUGAGGUCUAUGCUCACAUGAAUCUGAAUGUCAUCUGAGAACCUGGUUUGGCUCUUUUGCUUUUGUCUUUUAAAUCCUGGGUUUUGGCAGUGAUCUUGGGCGCCCGCACUGGAAUCAGAGUCUGUGUUAACUCUCAGAGUGCAGCUGCGCCCACGAUGCGUUCCUGAAGUGAGGCAUGCCAAGGAACUUCUGAACUAAAAUCAUUUUUCCAGCCAAUUUCAGUAUAAUUUGAGAUAUUAUCAUGGAAAAGAUGAUUGAAAAACAAUUUUGGUCCCCAUCACCCAUUGUCUCAUAAAAUGUGAAAUAUUUUA